CUUUUGUGCUAUAAAUAUUAUAUACCUAAUUAACUAAUUAAUAUUAACAAGGUGUAUAUUUUAAAUCUCUUAUAACUGUAGAUAAUAGACACCCUACAAAAACGUUAACACCAGCCCAAUGUAUUUUAACACACUAAACCGUAGAUCAAUAGAUUUAUUUUAACAUUUGUGUUAUAGCCACUAUAAAAUAUGUUAUAAAAUUGAUACAUAAUUGAACCUUUUUUUUAUUUUAAUCAAUAAAAUAUAUACCUAAAUUAAGUUAUUCAAUAACAUUGGUUUU